UACGGAAGGCAGCAGUGGGGAAUAUUGCACAAUGGGCGCAAGCCUGAUGCAGCCAUGCCGCGUGUAUGAAGAAGGGCCUUCGGGUUGUAAAGUACUUUCAGUCGUGAGGAAGGUGUUAAGGUUAAUAACCUUAGCAAUUGACGUUAGCGACAGAAGAAGCACCGGCUAACUCCGUGCCAGCAGCCGCGGUAAUACGGAGGGUGCGAGCGUUAAUCGGAAUUACUGGGCGUAAAGGGCACGCAGGCGGUUAAUUAAGUUGGAUGUGAAAUCCCCGGGCUUAACCUGGGAAUGGCAUUCAAGACUGGUUAGCUAGAGUCUUGUAGAGGGGGUAGAAUUCCAUGUGUAGCGGUGAAAUGCGUAGAGAUGUGGAGGAAUACCGGUGGCGAAGGCGGCCCCUGGACAAAGGACUGACGCUCAUGUGCGAAAGCGUGGGGAGCAAACAGGGAUUAGAUACC
rnacentral:rRNA from 1 species